rnacentral:rRNA from 1 species
CAGUAGCCGCGGUAAUACGUAGGUGGCAAGCGUUGUCCGGAAUUAUUGGGCGUAAAGGGCUCGCAAGCGGUUUCUUAAGUCUGAUGUGAAAGCCCCCGGCUCAACCGGGGAGGGUCAUUGGAAACUGGGAAACUUGAGUGCAGAAGAGGAGAGUGGAAUUCCACGUGUAGCGGUGAAAUGCGUAGAGAUGUGGAGGAACACCAGUGGCGAAGGCGACUCUCUGGUCUGUAACUGACGCUGAGGAGCGAAAGCGUGGGGAGCGAACAGGAUUAGAUACCCGCGUAGUCCCUGUCUCUUAUAA